CAGUCUAGGAGAAGAAGAGUAGGGCAGAUUCAAAUCAGCAGCAUGAGGGAUAAGGCGGCCAUGACUAAGGUGACAUAUUGAGGAGCAGGACGCAGCGAUAGGGAGGCAGAGAUUGCUUCUUCGGCCUUCGUCCACUUCUUCGCCCUGCACAUGCAUACCCACCCACACCGUUUCCUCCAAGCUAGGAUGAAUGUAACCACGGUCCAGCGGCAACAACUUAGGUCUGAGAAACAUCCGCCCACAAGCCACCAUAGCUGACGACUAUGUGAUGCUCGAGCUCCGACUCUUCAUUCGAUCAUCAAUUCUCAGGAACUUCCAUAUUAUACUUACUCUGGUCCUUCCUUCCCUGUCGUCGGCAAGGCACCCGCUGAAGCGCUCGAGCAGUCUAGGAGAAGAAGAGUAGGGCAGAUUCAAAUCAGCAGCAUGAGGGAUAAGGCGGCCAUGACUAAGGUGACAUAUUGAGGAGCAGGACGCAGCGAUAGGGAGGCAGAGAUUGCUACUUCGGCCUUCGUCCGCUUCUUCGCCCUGCACAUGCAUAUCUUCCCGCACCAUUUCCUCCAAGCUAGGAUGAAUGUAACCACGGUCCAGCGGCAACAACUUAGGUCUGAGAAACAUCCGCCCACAAGCCACCAUAGCUGACGGCUAUGUGAUGCUCGAGCUCCGACUCUUCAUUCGAUCAUCAAUUCUCAGGAACUUCCAUAUUAUACUUACUCUGGUCCUUCCUUCCCUGUCGUCGGCAAGGCACCCGCUGAAGCGCUCGAGCAGUCUAGGAGAAGAAGAGUAGGGCAGAUUCAAAUCAGCAGCAUGAGGGAUAAGGCGGCCAUGACUAAGGUGACAUAUUGAGGAGCAGGACGCAGCGAUAGGGAGGCAGAGAUUGCUACUUCGGCCUUCGUCCACUUCUUCGCCCUGCACAUGCAUAUCUUCCCGCACCAUUUCCUCCAAGCUAGGAUGAAUGUAACCACGGUCCAGCGG